UUAAUUAAAAUCAAAUAGAGAUAAAUUAUUGUUAAUAAUUUUAUUAAGUUUUAAAACUUUAAUUAAA
rnacentral:tRNA from 1 species